rnacentral:rRNA from 1 species
UGCCGCGUGAGUGAAGAAGGCCUUCGGGUUGUAAAGCUCUUUCGGCCGGGAAGAAAUCGUGGUCUCUAACAUAGGCCAUGGAUGACGGUACCGGACUAAGAAGCACCGGCUAACUACGUGCCAGCAGCCGCGGUAAUACGUAGGGUGCGAGCGUUAAUCGGAAUUACUGGGCGUAAAGCGUGCGCAGGCGGUUUUGUAAGACAGAUGUGAAAAUCCCCGGGGCUUAACCUGGGAACUGCGUUUGUGACUGCAAGGCUAGAGUACGGCAGAGGGGGGUGGAAUUCCUGGUGUAGCAGUGAAAUGCGUAGAGAUCAGGAGGAACACCGAUGGCGAAGGCAGCCCCCUGGGCCUGUACUGACGCUCAUGCACGAAAGCGUGGGGAGCAAACAGGAUUAGAUACCCUGGUAGUCCACGCCCUAAACGAUGUCGACUAGUCGUUCGGAGCAGCAAUGCACUGAGUGACGCAGCUAACGCGUGAAGUCGACCGCCUGGGGAGUACGGCCGCAAGGUUAAAACUCAAAGGAAUUGACGGGG